CUUCACGGAGCCUAGCCACACCGGCCGGUCCGCCGGGCGGUGCUGGCCGUACGUGGCGAGGAUCGCGUUCGCCUC
rnacentral:antisense_RNA from 1 species